AUACGGAGGAUGCGAGCGUUAUCCGGAUUUAUUGGGUUUAAAGGGUGCGUAGGCGGGCUGUUAAGCGUGAGGUGAAAGCUCGGGGCUCAACCCCGGAACUGCCUCGCGAACUGGCGGUCUUGAAUGUCCGUGCCGUGGGAGGAAUGUGUGGUGUAGCGGGGAAAUGCAUAGAGAUCACACAGAACACCGAUUGCGAAGGCAUCUCACGAACGGAUGAUUGACGCUGAGGCACGAAAGCGUGGGGAUCAAACAGGAUUAGAUACCCUGGUAGUCCACGCAGUAAACGAUGAUAACUAACCGCUGGUGGGUAAGUAUCAGUGGCCAAGCGAAAGCGAUAAGUUAUCCACCUGGGGAGUACGACCGCAAGGUUGAAACUCAAAUGAAUUGACGGGG
rnacentral:rRNA from 1 species